rnacentral:tRNA from 1 species
CGGGGAAUGGUGUAACGGCUAACAUGCCCGCUUUGGGAGCGGGUGAUUCCGGGUUCGAAUCCCGGUUCCCCGA